CAGGAUUGUAUUACGAGAGGAAUUAAGGAGGAGAUGGGCUGCACACAUUGGUUGAUCCACAGAGUCUGUGGGGUUUAUCCAUGUUGGUGAAUGUGCUUCUGGUUAGUUCUUCUGCUACAGCAUCUUCUAGAGUGUGUGUCCACCACGUUUUGCUUGCUACACCGUCGUUGGCUCAAUGCUUUGCUGCCACAAACAACACUGUGAGGACCAUCCUUUUCUCCUUUUCUAUAUGCCCCCAUAUGACCCUAGGGAUAUGAAAAUAGACCCUACAUCUUGAUAGGAGUAGAUGCAAAGUUACAUUGCAAAGGUCAAGGACAUAGUGACCAGUGGAAAAUUGUGAUCGUUUCUGCACCUACCACACCCCCACUGGAGACACCACCGUUUGGGGAAUGUGAAUCUUUUAGCCAUCUAUUCAGGACUCCCAAACUCAGAGACAAGCCUUCUGUUCCCAGUGAUCACGGGGCUCCCAGAUGAAGCCAGCCUCGGGAUAA